rnacentral:rRNA from 1 species
AGUGAACGCUGGCGGUAGGCCUAACACAUGCAAGUCGAACGGCAGCACAGUAAGAGCUUGCUCUUACGGGUGGCGAGUGGCGGACGGGUGAGGAAUACAUCGGAAUCUACUUUUUCGUGGGGGAUAACGUAGGGAAACUUACGCUAAUACCGCAUACGACCUACGGGUGAAAGCAGGGGAUCUUCGGACCUUGCGCGAUUGAAUGAGCCGAUGUCGGAUUAGCUAGUUGGCGGGGUAAAGGCCCACCAAGGCGACGAUCCGUAGCUGGUCUGAGAGGAUGAUCAGCCACACUGGAACUGAGACACUGUCCAGACUCCUACGGGAGGCAGCAGUGGGGAAUAUUGGACAAUGGGCGCAAGCCUGAUCCAGCCAUACCGCGUGGGUGAAGAAGGCCUUCGGGUUGUAAAGCCCUUUUGUUGGGAAAGAAAAGCAGCAGGUUAAUACCCCGCUGUUCUGACGGUACCCAAAGAAUAAGCACCGGCUAACUUCGU